rnacentral:rRNA from 1 species
UACAGAGGGGGCAAGCGUUUGUUCGGAAUUACUGGGCGUAAAGGGCUCGUAGGUGGCCAACUAAGUCAGACGUGAAAUCCCUCGGCUUAACCGGGGAACUGCGUCUGAUACUGGAUGGCUAGAGGUUGGGAGAGGGAUGCGGAAUUCCAGGUGUAGCGGUGAAAUGCGUAGAUAUCAGAAGGAACAUCAGUGGCGAAGGCGGCUUUCUGGACCAAUACUGACGAUCAGGUGCGAAAGCGUGGGGAGCAAACAGG